UCGUUAGCGGCGGACGGGUGAGUAACACGUGGGCAACCUGCCCUGUAGACGGGGAUAACACCGAGAAAUCGGUGCUAAUACCGGAUAACACGAAAUGUCGCAUGACGUUUCGUUGAAAGACGGCGCAAGCUGUCGCUACAGGAUGGGCCCGCGGCGCAUUAGCUAGUUGGUGAGGUAACGGCUCACCAAGGCGACGAUGCGUAGCCGACCUGAGAGGGUGAUCGGCCACACUGGGACUGAGACACGGCCCAGACUCCUACGGGAGGCAGCAGUAGGGAAUCUUCCGCAAUGGACGAAAGUCUGACGGAGCAACGCCGCGUGAGCGAAGAAGGCCUUCGGGUCGUAAAGCUCUGUUGUUAGGGAAGAACAAGUAACGCAGUAACUGGCGUUACCGUGACGGUACCUAACGAGAAAGCCACGGCUAACUACGUGCCAGCAGCCGCGGUAAUACGUAGGUGGCAAGCGUUGUCCGGAAUUAUUGGGCGUAAAGCGCGCGCAGGCGGUUCCUUAAGUCUGAUGUGAAAGCCCACGGCUCAACCGUGGAGGGUCAUUGGAAACUGGGGGACUUGAGUGCAGAAGAGGAGAGCGGAAUUCCACGUGUAGCGGUGAAAUGCGUAGAGAUGUGGAGGAACACCAGUGGCGAAGGCGGCUCUCUGGUCUGUAACUGACGCUGAGGCGCGAAAGCGUGGGGAGCAAACAG
rnacentral:rRNA from 1 species